rnacentral:rRNA from 1 species
AUAGUGGAUAUGUCCUGGAAUGGUAUAUCCUCGAAAGAUCCGUCGCCUUAGGAUGGGACUGCGUCCGAUUAGGUUGUUGGCGGGGUAACGGCCCACCAAGCCAUUGAUCGGUACGGGUUGUGGGAGCAAGAUCCCGGAGAUGGAUUCUGAGACAUGAAUCCAGGCCCUACGGGGCGCAGCAGGCGCGCAAACUUUACAAUGCGAGCAAUCGUGAUAAGGAAACCCUGAGUGCCUGUCGAUGCAGGCUGUUCAUAUAUCUAAAUCAUAUGUGAAGAAAGGGCAGGGCAAGACCGGUGCCAGCAGCCGCGGU